GAUGGAGGACUGGUCCCUCCCCUCCGUACUGGGAAAGUGGAUGGAUGGUUGGCUGUACUACACCCGGAAAGGUGGCAGCACAGAUGGUGAUACAGCCAGAGGGAGGAUGUCACAGUCCCUGUAUUGAUAUAAAUGUGGGUCCGCUCCUUUUCCCAGUCCAUGCUGCUUCCCUUCUUGAUUCUCCACUUUGCCAUGGCAGGGGCUCGUCCGGGAUCCACCGUGUGCCAUCCAUGACUAGAGGACCGCAGGCUGUUUUCCUCCAAACCCAAGGUGCCAUGUGAAAGGU